rnacentral:rRNA from 1 species
UACAGAGGUCUCAAGCGUUGUUCGGAUUCAUCGGGCGUAAAGGGUGCGUAGGUGGCGCCGUAAGUCAGGUGUGAAAUUUCGGAGCUUAACUCCGAAACUGCAUUUGAUACUGCGGUGCUUGAGGACUGGAGAGGAGACUGGAAUUUACGGUGUAGCAGUGAAAUGCGUAGAGAUCGUAAGGAAGACCAGUGGCGAAGGCGGGUCUCUGGACAGUUCCUGACACUGAGGCACGAAGGCCAGGGGAGCAAACGGG